CGCCUCUGCAGAGCGCGGCCGCAGCCCGGAGCCCGCAGCCCGGAGCCCGCAGCCUGGGGCCCGCAGCCCGUAGCCCGCAGCCCGCAGAGCCGCGCUGUCCGGGGCAUCCCAGUGCACGGCGUCCGUGGACCUGGGACCUCGAACCUGGGACGGGCGGAAAAUCCACUGGGAACACUUGCAUUUCUGAAAAAGGAAAUGAAACCAGAGACAGAGGGAAGCUGAGCGAAAAUAGACCUUCCCGAGAGAGGAGGAAGCCCGGAGAGAGACGCACGGUCCCCUCCCCGCCCCUAGGCCGCCGCCCCCUCUCUGCCCUCGGCGGCGAGCAGCGCGCCGCGACCCGGGCCGAAGGGAGCGCGGUGACUGUCCUUGAGCGCGGAGGGGCGAGCUCGC
rnacentral:lncRNA from 10 species